rnacentral:rRNA from 1 species
UACAGAGGUCCCAAGCGUUGUCCGGAAUCAUUGGGCGUAAAGCGCGCGUAGGCGGCCCGGUAAGUCCGCUGUAAAAGUCAAAGGCUCAACCUUUGAAUGUCAGUGGAUACUGCCGGGCUAGAGUCCGGAAGAGGCGAGUGGAACUCCUGGUGUAGCGGUGGAGUGCGCAGAUAUCAGGAAGAACACCGACGGCGAAGGCAGCUCGCUGGGACGGUACUGACGCUGAGGCGCGAAAGCGUGGGGAGCGAACAGG